CUAGCCCACUAGGGGGGCUCACUAGGGUGAGCUUGUUAACCCAAUUUUCUGUUGCAGAAGAAGAAAGGUUGCUGGAGUCUGAAACAAUAACUUUUGAACUGCCGUUAUUUUAUCAAAGUUGUUUUCUCACAGAGCAUGGGAAAUAUAUGCCUUUUUACAGUGCCUUCAUUAGAGAGACAAAUAAACCCUGCGCUGAUGGCGGAAAGCUUUUGCCUCUUCUUUUGAAGAACUGUUUAUCUAUCUGCCAAACUGGGCACCCACGUACAGUGAGGGCAGAAUAAACAAGCUUAGUAAAAGUGACCAUUGAUGGCUGUGAGUCGCGCUUCAGUCCUGGGAAAUCUUUUGUGGUGGAGUAUGGACAUGCGUGCACCAUCCAAAACCAAACUUCACAACCUGCAGUUCUGUAUUUCACAAAAAUUUUUGCUGGAACUGAGACUCAUCAGACCAGGCAACAUUUUUUUUUUUAAGCUUUAAUUGGAUGAAAAGUUAGUAAAAAAACAUGUGAAAUACUUCAAUAAAAUUUACUUCUUUUGGUA